CCGCAUUCUCAUAGCCUUCCUACCUCAGCAGCGUAUGUCUGUCUCACUGCUGUGCCCUGAAUCCUAGCAUCCCGCUCUCCCCAGGAUUUCUGGAAUGGGGUUUCCAGUGACCCUGGAUAAAUACUGGUAUUUCUUGCAUGAUUCAAUAACAUCAGGAAAAUGCUUGAGUUUCUGAAACAAGUCUGACUGGUACGCUUCAUCUUAUCAGCCCAAGUAAAUAAAAAGUACAUUAGGAGUUAUUCUCCCAGAUUAAUGAGCUUAAUUUAAACUGCUGCUAUUUUUAAAGUCCGUAUUUUAAGUUCUCUGUUUCUUUCUUCAUUUUGGAGUCCUUUCAGUGCAAUUGGGAAGACUCAGAACUACUGUUUCAAAGAUAAAAGUUGGUCUUCAGAUGACAUCAUUGCAUGCAUGCAGUGUGGGCUGAGAGCAGAAAAAGAAAACCAUAAUGCAAAACUUGUGCUGACAUUCUGAGCUGUCAACGUUGAAUACUUCAAGUUAAUUAGAAGACCAGACAUGUCCAGCCCAAAUGAAUAUUUGAUUUACUGCAUACCAUCACAAAUAUAUACUUAUAGGUUGUUUAAUCACUGUUUCUGAAGCAAUGUAGGGACAGUAGUAACUGCAGGCAGGCAUACUGUGUGGUGGGGAUGGGGUUGGGAAUGGGAAUGGAAACCCCUUGUUCUUUGUUGAUUUUCAACAGAGAAGCCACCAGGAAGCAUAGUAGGAAUCAGGAAAUCUUGUUCCCAUCAUCUUUCACUGGAGCUUACAUCUUUGGUAACCAGAUAACCAUGUGGCUGAGCUUUUUGCAGCUAAAGCAUUUUGGGUGGCCUUGAAGCUGGGUAUAGCCUGCUCUACAAAGAAUGGUGGUUGUGCUGGAGUUCCCUUGCAUGGAGCACCUGCCUACACUUACUCCUCAUGGCAGGACCACACAGUUUGCAAGCAAUGGAAAAAAGUCUCCACACAAGAAACAUGCUGCUCUGUGGCUUUCACAUCUGCUUGGUUUUAAUCCCAGCUCUGCCCUACUGCCCUUUCUUCAAGUCCAUGAGGAGCAGAGCAAUGCUUUGGGGUAGACUAAGGGUUUCUGCAUCAGGAGGUUGGAGACACAAGUACAGGCUGGGCAUGUGGUGUAAGAGAGGGGUCCGGGUCAGGCACAGGGGCUAAAUGAAGCAGGAAGAAGGUUUUCCAUUCCCCAUAACAGGUAAGUGAGAAAUAAAGCCUCCAUAUGAGCUGAGGAGCACUGGCCUAAUGCUGGGCUGAGACAGGACUGGGAAGUCACUGGUUUUGCCCCAGCCCUGAGCAAACCCCCCUGGGGAAAUGCAGGGAGGGGAUAGGGAAGGGACAUGCAGUUUUGGCACUGGAUCUGUGUGGCUCUGGAUCUGUCCCUGGCAGUUGUGCCCUGGGGUGCAGCAGACAGACCCCCAGUUGGCAGUGGGAGAGCCAGGGGAAGCGUUGGGAAGCGGGAGGCUCCAGCAAGGGCCAUGGGAGGGAGGCAAGCCCCAGCGAGGCACUAUUUUCAGUGCGCGCUGUCAGGCAGGAUUUUCUGAGGACAAUAUAUUUCCCCAUGGUGACAGCUCUGGCAGGCGGUGCGAGCGUGGCUGGUCCAAGCCCUGCUCAGGGGCUCGCUUCCUAAUUAGGAAGAGAAUUUAGGAAGAGAUCCUGAUUUUUUGUUGUUGUUUACCAAAACUUGGGGGGUCACCUCGCUAGAACAAAGCAGUCCUGCAGCAUGGACACCUUUGGUAAACACCUGCCACAGCAAGGUUGAUGGCCAAAGUAUCAUCUGUGGAAUGAAUGGUCACACAAAGACUCUGUUUACACACAAAGGGAUGCACAGGCUUGGAGCUGACAAAUGAGCAAUGGUUCUGAAGAUGUAGUUAAAGCAGAAGACUGAACCUUAUAGAAGAAGUAGCCAUACUCAGAGUGCAGGAGCAUGAGAGAAUCAAGCGAAUUAGGAGGCAAAUGGCAGUUAUCAGUGUUUGCCUGAUUAUGUGGUGUCAAAUGGUUCUGCUAACUUUAUUCAGCUGGGUUCUUCUCAGGGAAGGACGUCUGUUCCCAUCCACUGAGUCCUUGAUGCAGCAGUUAAGUUAGCAUGAUCCAGCCUUUUUUCUGGGCUCCAUAUAGUGAGAAAGUAAAUGAAAAAAUAAUAGAGCCUUGAGAGCAAAGGAACAAGACGGUUGUCGAGGUUAAUGAUGUCUUGGAUUGAAUUGACAGAAUUUCGGUGGAUCACAGGAGGAAUUUAUGGUACUCGGGGAUGACACUCUGCGCCCACACAGACAACUGGGCAUUCCUCCCACGACUGUAUUAUCUGGCCUGCUGUGUGUAGCACAUAAAUCCACUGCUGGUUUUCUGUGCAAGGAAUCCCACGCAUGGGACCAAAAAGGCUUGUGGCAGUCACUUCCCUAGACCACAGCUCCUCUUCCAAGAUCCUCAGCUUUUGCUGGAGCUAAGCGAAGCGUGUAGGGCCGCAGGGUGCACGUGUACCUAUGUGUGUGAAUGUGCACGGGGACACAGGAGAAAAUGUGCAUGGAGGGUACAAAGGUUCUGUUCCAAACACCUCCUGGAACCUCUUCCCUCCUGUGCCACCAGUUUUCACUGCAGCUCUAGAAAAUCUGCCUUUUCACUGUUGGCUGAAAGUUAUUAAGAAUAUUGUAGCAUUGACAAUUGCUGUGGAAAGAAAUCCUUACCAUAUGGCACUGCGAACUAGCUUAGAGAACAUAUAGACACAAAACACCAUCCACAAAUUAAGUAAAGGAGAUGGUUUAAAAUGACACAAUUAAAUACUUUUCCCCCCC